rnacentral:tRNA from 1 species
GGAGGGGUCGCAUAGUGGUCYAGUGCGCCCGCCUGCUAAGCGGGUUCCGGGGUAACUCGGUCGAGGGUUCGAAUCCCUCCCCCUCCGCCA